AACGCGAAGAACCUUACCAGGACUUGACAUGGGGUCGCCGUAUCCAGAGAUGGGUAUUCCCGCAAGGGCGGCCUGCACAGGUGCUGCAUGGCUGUCGUCAGCUCGUGUCGUGAGAUGUUGGGUUAAGUCCCGCAACGAGCGCAACCCUCGUCCUAUGUUGCCAGCGGGUAAUGCCGGGGACUCAUGGGAGACUGCCGGGGUCAACUCGGAGGAAGGUGGGGAUGACGUCAAGUCAUCAUGCCCCUUAUGUCUUGGGCUGCAAACAUGCUACAAUGGCCGGUACAGAGGGCUGCGAACUCGCGAGAGUAAGCGAAUCCCGGAAAGCCGGUCUCAGUUCGGAUCGGGGUCUGCAACUCGGCCCCGUGAAGCUGGAGUCGCUAGUAAUCGCGGAUCAGCAACGCCGCGGUGAAUACGUUCCCGGGCCUUGUACACACCGCGCAUA
rnacentral:rRNA from 1 species